UCCUCUAGAGAUUAGAGUUUGAUCAUGGCUCAGAUUGAACGCUGGCGGCACGCCUAACACAUGCAAGUCGAGCGGCAGCAUGCUUAGUAGCAAUACUAAGUGAUGGCGAGCGGCGGACGGGUGAGGAACACGUAGGAACCUGCCCAAGAGAGGGGGACAACCAAUGGAAACGUUGGCUAAUACCGCAUAAUCUCUUAGGAGAAAAGUUGCCCGUAAGGGUAGCGCUUUUGGAGGGGCCUGCGUCCGAUUAGCUAGUUGGUGAGGUAAUAGCUCACCAAGGCGAUGAUCGGUAACUGGUCUGAGAGGACGACCAGUCACACUGGGACUGAGACACGGCCCAGACUCCUACGGGAGGCAGCAGUGGGGAAUCUUGGACAAUGGGGGCAACCCUGAUCCAGCGAUGCCGCGUGGGUGAAGAAGGCCUUCGGGUUGUAAAGCCCUUUAGGCUGGGACGAAGGGUAUGGGACGAAUAAUCCUGUACUUUGACGGUACCAGCAGAAUAAGCACCGGCAAACUCUGUGCCAGCAGCCGCGGUAAUACAGAGGGUGCGAGCGUUAAUCGGAUUUACUGGGCGUAAAGGGCGCGUAGGCGGUGAUGUGAGUGUGAUGUGAAAGCCCCGGGCUUAACCUGGGAAGUGCAUCGCAAACGACAUGACUGGAGUAGAUGAG
rnacentral:rRNA from 1 species